GACGAACGCUGGCGGCGUGCUUAACACAUGCAAGUCGAACGGAAAGGCCCUGCUUUUGUGGGGUGCUCGAGUGGCGAACGGGUGAGUAACACGUGAGUAACCUGCCCUUGACUUUGGGAUAACUUCAGGAAACUGGGGCUAAUACCGGAUAGGAGCUCCUGCUGCAUGGUGGGGGUUGGAAAGUUUCGGCGGUUGGGGAUGGACUCGCGGCUUAUCAGCUUGUUGGUGGGGUAGUGGCUUACCAAGGCUUUGACGGGUAGCCGGCCUGAGAGGGUGACCGGCCACAUUGGGACUGAGAUACAGCCCAGACUCCUACGGGAGGCAGAAGUGGGGAAUAUUGCACAAUGGGCGGAAGCCUGAUGCAGCAACGCCGCGUGCGGGAUGACGGCCUUCGGGUUGUAAACCGCUUUCGCCUGUGACGAAGCGUGAGUGACGGUAAUGGGUAAAGAAGCACCGGCUAACUACGUG
rnacentral:rRNA from 1 species